UCUCUGCAAUUAGUCGUGAAGUUGAAGGAGCUCCAGACUCUGCAGGCGCACUCAGGCCCUCCUGCUCCGGCUGCCGGCAUUCAGCCGUUUGAUGCACCGGGAGCCCCCGGGAGGACGCCGAUGAAAGGAUCAUUUGGUUGGGAUCCCACGCAUCCUUUCCACGCUGAGUGCUGGUGAUACCAACAGCCCACACAGGCGGAAUGUGCGACCGAGCCUCCCCGACAAGGCCGGGGGCCACUCCAGAAACACCUGACACCUGUUAAUCCUCCCCCGCAGAGGUCAAGGGCCUGGAGGCUGCUCUCAACAUAGAAACAGCUGGGAGGAACAGCCCAUUGAGUCCUCGAUGCUGAGUCACAUUAGAGACAAAGGAACUGCUCAGAUUGGCCAGUUGCUGCUUCCCGGGGCUUCCUUCCUUCCUCUCUCCUUGGCCACUAAACCCCACCAGUGGCCUCAGUGUGGCCCCGGAGGCAUCACUCC